CUGGCUCAGGAUGAACGCUGGCGGCGUGCCUAACACAUGCAAGUCGAGCGGAGAUAAGUGAAGCCUAGCGAUUCUUAUCUUAGCGGCGGAUGGGUGAGUAACACGUGGGUAACCUGCCCUGUACUGGGGAAUAACAGCUGGAAACGGCUGUUAAUGCCGCAUAUGCGCACGGAGCCGCAUGACUCCGGGCGGAAAGAUUUAUCGGUACAGGAUGGGCCCGCGCCGGAUUAACUAGUUGGCGGGGUAACGGCCCACCAAGGUGAUGAUCCGUAGCCGACCUGAGAGGGUGACCGGCCACAUUGGGACUGAGACACGGCCCAAACUCCUACGGGAGGCAGCAGUGGGGGAUAUUGCACAAUGGGGGAAACCCUGAUGCAGCGACGCCGCGUGAAGGAUGACGUAUUUCGGUAUGUAAACUUCUAUCAGCGGGGAAGAAGAUGACGGUACCCGACUAAGAAGCCCCGGCUAACUACGUGCCAGCCGCAGC
rnacentral:rRNA from 1 species